rnacentral:pre_miRNA from 1 species
GGCUAUCACAUUCUGAGGACGGCAGCGACGUGUGUCUAACGUCAACGUCGCGGUCACAGAAUGUGACACC